ACAAAACCAUUUCUCAAACUCCUUUCAAUUCAAUUUCAAAAUCAGAGCAAUUUCAAUAUCUCAGAUCAUUUUCAAUUUAAACUCAUUUUUCAACAAAUCAAGCUUAUUUCUAAUAUUAUAAUCCUUUCCAGAUCUCAAUUCAUUUCCAACAAAGCCAACCAACAUUUACUCAAACCCUUUUCAAUGUCGCAAGUAAAAGAAACCGAAUGCAAAAU